AUACGGAGGGUGCAAGCGUUGCUCGGAAUCACUGGGCGUAAAGCGAACGCAGGCGGCCCGGCAAGUCGGGUGUGAAAGCCCGGGGCUCAACCCCGGAAUUGCACUCGAAACUGCCGGCCUUGAGUACGGGAGAGGGAAGCGGAAUUCCUAGUGUAGAGGUGAAAUUCGUAGAUAUUAGGAGGAACACCCGUGGCGAAAGCGGCUUCCUGGCCCGAUACUGACGCUCAGGUUCGAAAGCGUGGGGAGCAAACAGGAUUAGAAACCCCGGUAGUCC
rnacentral:rRNA from 1 species